GCCGAGAUAACCAAGACAGGUCAAAGGUGGUGGACUCAAGAUCCACUCUCGUAGGAGUUCGCGGGUUCGAACGCCUGCAGCAUUUUGCUGCAGGUAGAAAAUCCCACUCUCGGCACCA
rnacentral:tRNA from 1 species